AUGGCGGAGCCCCAGUGCCCGGAAAUGCAACGGCACGGACAGCGCGAGGCCACGGCGCCCCCUGGAGGUCGGCGCCCGCGGCCAGCAAAUGCCAAACCUCAGCUGGUGCCUGAGCUGGCAUCCUCUUCCUCCUGUCGGCGGGAGGUGUGGAUCACCUGCUGCGUGCGGGGAACAAACGCCGACCCAGUACCGGUCCCUGCAGCGGAGUAGCCUUCGCCUGCAAGGUGAACGCCUGCUCACCACGUAAUCCCUAAACGCAGAUAUCACGUUGUCUCUGCAACUUUCCCUGACAACCACCCAAUGCAAUUAAUUAUCCCACAAUAGUAUCUCCCGCAGGCUCUCUGUAGAACCAUAGAAUUCAUCCAUCAAAAUACAAUCAUUUGUUGAUCCGUCUCUCUCUGCCGCCCCCAAAUGUGAAUUCCUUGAGUCAGAGACUAUUCUACUCAGCAAAACAUUUGUGAGUGGAAUUAAAUUGAAAUAAACCGUUAUAGUCUACUCACAGAUGGAAAACACAUAGUAAAAUCCUAGAAUUCCAUUUCUCCCCUGAAAAUUUCCCAGACAAUCAGAGGGAGUUUCAUACUUUCCUGUUUACUUUUCUCCCAAAUAGGCCUUCUGAGGCAGCAGAAUAGGGAAGGAAGUCAGAAGACUGACCAGCUCAUACAUACGGAAUGCCUAUCAUACAUACACUUAAAAUUAUGGCAAGCUCACGCAGGCGCACUAAGAGAGAAAAAACAAGAAAACAGAUAUGACAAUUAUAGGAAAUCCCCUCCCUAGAGUUAAAGAAGUGUAGGAAGUGGGUAUAAAAGAACAAAGGCUAUAUUAAUCCAGGGCUGACACCACUUGAAGAUAAGCCCGUUCCUCUCUCUGGAACAUUCUUUGCUUAAUAAAUUUUGUGGGGUGGUUAUUUGGGUGUCUCAUCCAAUUCUUUGUUCAUAACACCAAGAACCUGGAACUCCCAACUUCCAAUCUGGUAACAUAUUUUGGUGAGCCAGCCAGGAGGGUCAAGCCUGCAAUACCUAAAGCUCCAGACCUGGAACCCAAAGCUCCCAUCAGUCGCUACCCUGUGAACCUGUGGAGGAUCUGAAGUACCUGUUUAAAAGGCAUCCAAAAGAUAGAAUCUAUCAAGCUACAAAUGGCUAUAUUGCCUGAAGCCCCAGACAUCAUCCUACAAGAAAUAAGCCCAGACUUCUCAAUUUCCCCCUGGAUAGAGCAGGGGUACUCCUUAAUGACUUUACGAAGUUCUUGUUUGUUAAAUGCAAGUUGGUAACUUACUUCCUCCUCCCUUAUGCCCUGUGCCACGCGAGCUUCAACACCUUCAAAGAAAUGCUUCAAGGAAAUGAAAAGAAACAAUGGCUAAGACCUGCUUUUAUUAUUAUUUACAUUAAAAAAAAUCUGAUUACAAAGUAGUGUAUAAUCACCAUGCAAAAAUCAGUGUGUGAAAGUAUAAACAAUAAAAUAACAAUCACUUAUUAACAUACUUCUGAGAUGAGCAUUGUUAAUACUGUAGAGUUCCUUGUAAUCUUUUGAUGUGUGAAUACAUAUGUGAGAUUAAAAUUUCAUGUCCCACUUUA